GCCGGAUUGGCGGAAUUGGCAGACGCGGUGCACUCAAAAUGCAUUGUCGAAAGACGUAAGGGUUCGAGUCCCUUAUCCGGCACCA
rnacentral:tRNA from 1 species